UACGUGGGGUGCAAGCGUUGCCCGGAUUUAUUGGGCGUAAAGGGCGCGCAAGCGGCUACGCACGUCCGUUGUGAAAUCGCUCGGCUCAACUGGGCGGGGUCGGCGGAUACGGCGUAGCUGGAGCAAGCUAGGGGGGCAAUGGAAUUCCUGGUGUAGCGGUGAAAAUGCGCAGAUAUCAGGAGGAACACCAAUUGCGAAGGCAGCUCGCUGGGGACGUUUACUGACGCUGAGACGCGAAAAGCUGGGGGGAGCAAAACAGG
rnacentral:rRNA from 1 species